CCCAAAAAAAAAAAAAAAAAAACCAAAAAAAAAACAAUAAGCAAAACCAAUAACAAACACGACAGGUAACACAUGAAUAUUUGAGGGGAAAGAUAUUAGAUGUAUUUCCUGAUUACAAAAAAGAAGCAGAAGACCACCUUUCAAAAGCUGUAAGUCAGAAAAAAAAAGUUUCAAUCCUGAUUGUUUUAUGUGCUGCACUGCUCAGGCUGAGGGUUACGUUUUGAAAUUGGCUGAUGUUAUUCCAGGUGAAGUUGAAUCCAUCUCUGGCAGAUGCUUGGCUCUGCUAACUGCAUUUGGAAAAAAGGAGACCUACCUUCAGCAAAAAACUGCUUUACACUUGCACUAAGCAAGAUCGAUGUGGUACUUUAACUGGUUCUCGUAAGGACGAGGAAAGUUUCAAGGCAAGAGUAUUUGAAGAAAAUGGAGCAAAAGAAAUUGAAGGAGCUUAGAGAUGAUAUAGAAGACGAGCAGUAUCUAUUUGAUGGUGUAAAAUUGAUUGAAUAUGGUGAACUAAGUUGCUCUUAAUUAGUUCCCAUCGGAGAGGUGCAGUUGCAGCUGUUGUUUGCUCACUGGUUUUGGUGCUUAUAAAGAGGUGCUACUGCUACUGUAUUGUUGCUGCUACUGGUAAACUGCUGCUGUAUGGUUUGGUGCUGCUAAACUGUUUAUUUUUCAAUUGUUCCUUUUCUUCUAGUGUGCUGGGCCCCUCCGUUACAUAAAUGUAAUAUGCAUUGGCAAGCUAUGAACUGGGGCAGUUGUGUGGACUGGUUAUCUGAGCAAUUCUCUGGUCAUUCUUUGUCCACUAAUACUAAGAAAUUAAUGCUUACUUGUACUAUUUACUGUAUCUGGCGGGAGAGAAAUGCUAGGAUCUUCUCACCUGUUGGUACUCCUGCUAAUGUGGUUGUGAGAAAAGUUGAAUCUCUGGUUAGGUGCAGGCUCUUAUCUGUUAACAACUUCAAGGAGGAUGGGGAUAAUGAUUGGUUUAUGGACUCAUGGCAUCUUCCUCAUAUAGUGUUGAGGGCAUAUGCUCUUUGAGUUGUAUGUACUCUUACUUCCAGUGUCUCUAUAUAUAUUGUUGUGUGUUUGGAUCUUCCUCUUGCAGGUCUCCUACAUCAGUCCUUUGGAGCUGCCUCAUUUUCCCCUUUGUAUUCAGGACUUUGCUGGUACUUACUUAGGGAUGUUGUGGGUUGAGUGAUUGUGAGCCUCCACAGUUAGUAUUGUGAUGGAGAUUAUUGAGAGUGAGUGUUGAGAGCCUAUAUAUGAGUGUUGUGUAAUGUGAGACAUCCAUAAUCCUAUUAUCUUGCUCAUUAUUUUCUUUGCAGGUUGUCAAUGCUGGUCUCUUGUAGGGAGAAGGGUUGAGAUGGUGAGGCUCUAUAGCUAGGUUUUUGUGGGUUGAGUGAUGGUGAGCCAUAUAGUUUAUCUAAUUCUUUUCUGCAGGUUGUCAAGCUGGUCCUAAUUGUAAGGGAGUUUUUUUUGUUGAGGGUUGAGUGAUUGGUUAGCCCUCAUAAAUUUUUUUGGAGUGCUGUGUGUUGCAUCUUGAGGGUUGAGUGAUUGAGGACUAUUUGUUUCUGUGGGUCUACUCUACCCAGUCUUGCUGUCUGUUUGUAAUGAAUAUUUGUCAGUGUGUCCUUGCUGAGUUGUUACACAUAGGUUAUUGUAUCUAUUCAACCCCCCCAUAGGUCUAUAAUAUGUUGUAGUUCAAGUUUACAUCUGCAUUUGUCCUGGGGUUGGUCUUGGCAGAAGCUUGCUGGGAUGGACUAUGUUUCUAUUGGUUGUUGUUCUGCUGGCUGUGGUAUAUGCUGAAUUGCUACUGUUGAGUUGAAAUUUGUGUAGUUCAUGUGUAGAUACUGCCCAUGGAUGGGUGUAUAUGGUUCUCUGCUGGUUGUUGAGUCUGUGGCUCCACUUGUGUGGCUUUGCUGGUGCUGCUGCCUAUUGUCUGCUGUCUGCUGUCUGCUGUCUGCUAACUGUGGUCUUAGCUGUGUCUGUGAUUCAUGCUGCCAUGAUGUUGCUACUAUAUUUCCUUCCCUGUAGCAGUGUUGUUUUCGUUAUAGUGCAUGCUCUGGUGCUGUCUGCAGUUGCUUUCUUCUUGUAUUUCUGAACUGUAUGCUGCCCAGCCUUUGUUUUGUUACUGUUUGUUGUUGUCUUCCAGCCAGUAAGAGGUGGCUGAUCUGCUUGGUUGGUGCAGCAAAUUGGGCUAGUUUUUUUAUUGGGCUCUGUUUUUUGCUGAUCCUAAUGGACUUAGUUUGCAUUUUUUUGUGUUGUUUUUCUUUCUUUUUUGCGUCUUUUGUGUCAGUUUAUGUUUGUUUGAUGACAAUGUUGUCUGGCUAAAGAGCCUUUUGUUUUUUUCUCUGUGUCUGUUGUUAGUUCUGUGGUGCCUGAGGGAUGCCUCUUGUAAACCUGUAUAUGUUAUUGUUUUUAAUUUAUAACUUACUUACCUUAAAAAAAAAAGAAAAAAAAAAACGCAGUUUUGGCUCUAUGUUUUGUGAUUUAGUAAUUUCCUUCAAUGGUUUCAUCUUGUUUUGCAGGUCUAUGAGGAUGAAACAGUUUUGCAGGCAUUUAAAUUGAUGAGAUAAAAGGGAGUUGGUGGAGGUACCAGUGGUUGAAAGUGGUGGAAGAAAGACAAUCGGUAAUAUGAGUAUUAGAGAUGUUCAGUUCCUUUUAAUUGCACCCGAGAUCUACAAGAACUACAGGGGAAGCACUACAAGAUGAGAGGAUUAAUGGAGGAGCAUUCAUAGGCACUGAUGGUAUUCAAUUUCCACACAAGCUAAUACCUAUUCCUACUCAUUUCCCUCUAGAAAAAUUGCAACAAAAGAGGCAAUUUCAUUAAAGGCAACUUCAUUAGAGUGAAAACCGAGACUUCACAAUCAAUGGACUCAUCGCCUUCCGGACGAGCCUUCGACGCCAGCUCUAAGUCCUUAUUUUCCGAUGGACUCUCAUAAGCAACAGUCGCAAAUCCACGCAAUUCUUCACCCAACCCUCCCAGAGACGUUGAAUUUCAGGCGGUGACGAGGCAGAUCGGCAACGAUGGAGAGAGGUAGAUCUGUUCAGAGACAAAUCAACAACAACCUCAACCUCACGCGUGAGCCACUUGCAAAUUUGAGUUCUUCAUUUUCAUCGACGACGACGACGACAUCGCAUAUCUGAGUAGGGGAAGGAGGCAGUGGUUCUAAUGGCGGAGCUGAAUUUCCAAUAAUGGAGCUUCGUCGAGGAUAUCGAUGUAGGACUUGAGGACGGAAGGGAGAGGGGUGGCGACAUCGAGACAGCUUGCCUGGAGUUUGUUAGAAGGGUGAAUUGGUCUAUUAAAAAUUAAUGGGACUUGAAGGAGCAAAUAAUUUUAUCUAGGAUUUAAUGGAUUAUAAGUUCACAAAAUGAGACUUGUAUAUGAAUGACCCUAUCUAUACUAUAUAUAUAACUAAAUGUAGUUGUUUUGUUAAAAAUCUCCAA